rnacentral:rRNA from 1 species
UUUUUUUUAAAACCAAAGCCUGUUGAAACGCAUGUCUUUAGCCNCACGGGGCGAGUAAAAAGUUUAAUACAACUUUCAACAACGGAUCUCUUGGCUUUCGCAUCGAUGAAGGACGCCGCGAAAGUGCGAAACGUAAUGUGAAUUGCAGAAUUCAGUGAAUCAUCGAAUCUUUGAACGCAUCUUGCGCUCCUUGGCAUUCCGAGGAGCAUGCCUGUUUGAGUGUCGUGAAAUCAUCCCUCGACCCGACUCCUCGUUAGAGUUUGGGUUGGAUUUGGACGUCUGCGGGGGCGGUCGCCUCUCGCUCGUCUUUAAAUGCAUCAGCUUGGCCCUCGGGUCGGACCGAUCGACGGUGUGAUAAUAACACAUUGAACGCCGUUUUGGCCCGACCUUCGCGUGGGGUCGCUUCUAAUCCCCGGUCCCUUGGGACCGAUUCGACCAUUUGACCUCAAAUCAGGUAGGACUACCCGCUGAACUUAAGCAUAUCAAUAAGCGGAGGAAAAGAAACUAAC